rnacentral:tRNA from 1 species
ACCUGGCUGGCUCAGUCAGUAGAGCGUGUGACUCUUGAUCUCAGGGUUGUGAGUUUGAGCCCCAUGUUGGGUG